UUAGGGUUUGAACUCGGGAGUAACAAUCUCUCUUACUUUCCUCUCAUUUCCACUUAAUUCUUUUCUUUUCCCUCCUUAAGUUGAACUCGGGACCGCAGUGUUAGUGAUUUCAAACCUUAACCAUUAUAAGUAUAACGUGACCUAUGAUCUCACCCACAAAUUUCUUAUCAAGAACGGUGCCUCCAACUAACGUAGGAUCCAUCUUCAUCACCGAUUGCAUACAUCGGGUUGCAAACCUCUUCAUGUUGGCCAUCUAACCAUCGGUUUUAAUCACCAUCAACAUCAUUGUAGAGCACAUUAACCAUGUAUGUUGUAUGCUGCCACCAUCAAUCGAUUAACACAACACUACCAUUGAACCACUCUUAUUCAAAUUGGGGGUUUAUAAUUAUUGGAAAGAAGCAGAAGGUACUUCAGAUGAUUGUGGGAAGUUGAAGGCUUGAUUGUACACAUUCAUCGACAAUUUUUGUGAUUUCGCAUUUUUAUGCCACUCUUAUUUUUGGGAUGAUUGUAUUUGGUACUCAUGGUUUUCUUGAUUUAGUUUUAUGAAAAUAAUGUAUUACCUAAUUUCAAAAUAAAA